AGAGUUUGAUCAUGGCUCAGAUUGAACGCUGGCGGCAGGCCUAACACAUGCAAGUCGAACGGUAACAGGAAGCAGCUUGCUGCUUCGCUGACGAGUGGCGGACGGGUGAGUAAUGUCUGGGAAACUGCCUGAUGGAGGGGGAUAACUACUGGAAACGGUAGCUAAUACCGCAUAACGUCGCAAGACCAAAGUGGGGGACCUUCGGGCCUCAUGCCAUCAGAUGUGCCCAGAUGGGAUUAGCUAGUAGGUGGGGUAACGGCUCACCUAGGCGACGAUCCCUAGCUGGUCUGAGAGGAUGACCAGCCACACUGGAACUGAGACACGGUCCAGACUCCUACGGGAGGCAGCAGUGGGGAAUAUUGCACAAUGGGCGCAAGCCUGAUGCAGCCAUGCCGCGUGUGUGAAGAAGGCCUUCGGGUUGUAAAGCACUUUCAGCGGGGAGGAAGGCGAUAAGGUUAAUAACCUUGUCGAUUGACGUUACCCGCAGAAGAAGCACCGGCUAACUCCGUGCCAGCAGCCGCGGUAAUACGGAGGGUGCAAGCGUUAAUCGGAAUUACUGGGCGUAAAGCGCACGCAGGCGGUCUGUCAAGUCGGAUGUGAAAUCCCCGGGCUCAACCUGGGAACUGCAUUCGAAACUGGCAGGCUAGAGUCUUGUAGAGGGGGGUAGAAUUCCAGGUGUAGCGGUGAAAUGCGUAGAGAUCUGGAGGAAUACCGGUGGCGAAGGCGGCCCCCUGGACAAAGACUGACGCUCAGGUGCGAAAGCGUGGGGAGCAAACAGGAUUAGAUACCCUGGUAGUCCACGCCGUAAACGAUGUCGAUUUGGAGGUUGUGCCCUUGAGGCGUGGCUUCCGGAGCUAACGCGUUAAAUCGACCGCCUGGGGAGUACGGCCGCAAGGUUAAAACUCAAAUGAAUUGACGGGGGCCCGCACAAGCGGUGGAGCAUGUGGUUUAAUUCGAUGCAACGCGAAGAACCUUACCUGGUCUUGACAUCCACAGAACUUUCCAGAGAUGGAUUGGUGCCUUCGGGAACUGUGAGACAGGUGCUGCAUGGCUGUCGUCAGCUCGUGUUGUGAAAUGUUGGGUUAAGUCCCGCAACGAGCGCAACCCUUAUCCUUUGUUGCCAGCGGUUAGGCCGGGAACUCAAAGGAGACUGCCAGUGAUAAACUGGAGGAAGGUGGGGAUGACGUCAAGUCAUCAUGGCCCUUACGACCAGGGCUACACACGUGCUACAAUGGCGCAUACAAAGAGAAGCGACCUCGCGAGAGCAAGCGGACCUCAUAAAGUGCGUCGUAGUCCGGAUUGGAGUCUGCAACUCGACUCCAUGAAGUCGGAAUCGCUAGUAAUCGUGGAUCAGAAUGCCACGGUGAAUACGUUCCCGGGCCUUGUACACACCGCCCGUCACACCAUGGGAGUGGGUUGCAAAAGAAGUAGGUAGCUUAACCUUCGGGAGGGCGCUUACCACUUUGUGAUUCAUGACUGGGGUGAAGUCGUAACAAGGUAACCGUAGGGGAACCUGCGGUUG
rnacentral:rRNA from 1 species